ACGGGUGAGUAACACGUGAGCAAUCUGCCCUGGACUCUGGGAUAAGCGUUGGAAACGACGUCUAAUACCGGAUACGCGACGCGAAGGCAUCUUCAGCGUCGGGAAAGAACUUCGGUCCAGGAUGAGCUCGCGGCCUAUCAGCUAGUUGGUGAGGUAACGGCCCACCAAGGCGACGACGGGUAGCCGGCCUGAGAGGGUGACCGGCCACACUGGGACUGAGACACGGCCCAGACUCCUACGGGAGGCAGCAGUGGGGAAUAUUGCACAAUGGGCGCAAGCCUGAUGCAGCAACGCCGCGUGAGGGACGACGGCCUUCGGGUUGUAAACCUCUUUUAGUAGGGAAGAAGCGAAAGUGACGGUACCUGCAGAAAAAGCACCGGCUAACUACGUGCCAGCAGCCGCGGUGAUACGUAGGGUGCAAGCGUUAUCCGGAAUUAUUGGGCGUAAAGAGCUCGUAGGCGGUUUGUCGCGUCUGCUGUGAAAACUGGAGGCUCAACCUCCAGCCUGCAGUGGGUACGGGCAAACUAGAGUGCGGUAGGGGAGAUUGGAAUUCCUGGUGUAGCGGUGGAAUGCGCAGA
rnacentral:rRNA from 1 species